UACGUAGGGUGCGAGCGUUGUCCGGAAUUAUUGGGCGUAAAGAGCUUGUAGGCGGUUUGUCGCGUCUGCUGUGAAAAUCCGGGGCUCAACCUCGGGCCUGCAGUGGGUACGGGCAGACUAGAGUGCGGUAGGGGAGAUUGGAAUUCCUGGUGUAGCGGUGGAAUGCGCAGAUAUCAGGAGGAACACCGAUGGCGAAGGCAGAUCUCUGGGCCGUAACUGACGCUGAGGAGCGAAAGCGUGGGGAGCGAACAGG
rnacentral:rRNA from 1 species